rnacentral:rRNA from 1 species
ACGGCUCAGUAACACGUGGCUAAUCUGCCCUUGGGACUAGAACAACCCCGGGAAACUGGGGCUAACUCUGGAUAGGUGAAGAACUCUGGAAUGAGUUUUUGCCUAAAUAGGUUCACGUUAUCCUCGUGAACUUGCCCAAGGAUGAGGCCGCGACCGAUCAGGUUGUUGGCGAGGUAAUGGCUCACCAAGCCUUUUACCGGUGCGGGCCGUGGGAGCGGGAGCCCGGAGAUGGGUACUGAGACAAGGACCCAGGCCCUACGGGGCGCAGCAGUCGCGAAACCUUUGCAAUACACGAAAGUGUGACAGGGCUAUCCCGAGUGCCAUCCGCUGAGGAAGGCUUUUACCCAGUCUAGAACGCUGGGGGAAUAAGGAGAGGGCAAGUCUGGUGUCAGCCGCCGCGGUAAUACCAGCUCUCCGAGUGGUGUGGAUGUUUAUUGGGCCUAAAGCAUCCGUAGCUGGCUAGGUAAGUCCCUUGUUAAAUCCACCGAAUUAAUCGUUGGAUCGCGGGGGAUACUGCUUGGCUAGGGGACGAGAGAGGCAGACGGUAUUUUCGGGGUAGGGGUGAAAUCCUAUAAUCCCGGGAAGACCACCAGUGGCGAAGGCUGUCUGCUAGAACGCGCCCGACGGUGAGGGAUGAAAGCUGGGGGAGCGAACCGGAUUAGAUACCCGGGUAGUCCCAGCUGUAAACGAUGCAGACUAGGUGUUUGGACGGCCACGUGCCGUUCUAGUGCCGCAGGGAAGCUGUUAAGUCUGCCGCCUGGGGAGUACGAUCGCAAGAUUGAAACUUAAAGGAAUUGGCGGGGGAGCAC